GACGGAGGGUGCAAGCGUUGUUCGGAAUUACUGGGCGUAAAGGGCGCGUAGGCGGUCUGUUAAGUUCGGUGUGAAAGCCCCCGGCUCACCUGGGGAACUGCGCCGGAAACCGACAGACUCGAGUACCGGAGAGGAGGGUGGAAUUCCUGGUGUAGCGGUGAAAUGCGUAGAUAUCAGGAGGAACACCGGUGGCGAAGGCGGCCCUCUGGACGGAUACUGACGCUGGAGGCGACGGAAAGCGUGGGGAUCAAAC
rnacentral:rRNA from 1 species